GACGAACGCUGGCGGCGUGCCUAAUACAUGCAAGUUGAGCGAUGAAGAUUGGUGCUUGCACCAAUUUGAAGAGCAGCGAACGGGUGAGUAACGCGUGGGGAAUCUGCCUUUGAGCGGGGGACAACAUUUGGAAACGAAUGCUAAUACCGCAUAACAACUUUAAACAUAAGUUUUAAGUUUGAAAGAUGCAAUUGCAUCACUCAAAGAUGAUCCCGCGUUGUAUUAGCUAGUUGGUGAGGUAAAGGCUCACCAAGGCGAUGAUACAUAGCCGACCUGAGAGGGUGAUCGGCCACAUUGGGACUGAGACACGGCCCAAACUCCUACGGGAGGCAGCAGUAGGGAAUCUUCGGCAACGGACGAAAGUCUGACCGAGCAACGCCGCGUGAGUGAAGAAGGUUGUCGGAUCGUAAAACUCUGUUGGUAGAGAAGAACGUUGGUGAGAGUGGAAAGCUCAUCAAGUGACGGUAACUACCCAGAAAGGGACGGCUAACUACGUG
rnacentral:rRNA from 1 species